rnacentral:lncRNA from 1 species
UGUUCUAAAAUUUUGAAGGAAGUUAGAUUUCAUUGUGAAAUUUCUAAUAAGUUUUUGCAUGCAAGAAAUAGAGCUAUGAAGAGGGAGGUUCAAGAAAAUUUGUAAAAAGAGAGCCGUCGAAGUUUUUCAAGUAGUGAAAUUCAAGUCUAGGUUAAGGUUUCCCAUUAUAUUUUCUGAAUUUUCAUCUUUUUCUUUAAAAUUUUGAAAGAAACUAGAUCUUAUUAUUAGAUUUUCAAAAAGCUAUUUUAUGCAAGAAAAAGAGCUAUGAUGAGCAAGAUUCAUAUGAAGUUUUUGGAAGAGAUUUGCUAGAGUUUUUGAGCAGCAAAAUUCAAGACUGGUUUGAAACUUUCUAUGCCAUUUAUUGGAUUUUUUUUUU